rnacentral:tRNA from 1 species
UCCCUAGUGGCUCAGAUGGUAAAGCAUCUGUCUGCAAUGCAGGAGACCCGGGUUUGAUCCCUGUGUUGGGAA